rnacentral:rRNA from 1 species
AUUGAACGCUGGCGGCAGGCUUAACACAUGCAAGUCGAGCGGAGAUGAGGUGCUUGCACCUUAUCUUAGCGGCGGACGGGUGAGUAAUGCUUAGGAAUCUGCCUAUUAGUGGGGGACAACAUUCCGAAAGGAAUGCUAAUACCGCAUACGCCCUACGGGGGAAAGCAGGGGAUCUUCGGACCUUGCGCUAAUAGAUGAGCCUAAGUCGGAUUAGCUAGUUGGUGGGGUAAAGGCCUACCAAGGCGACGAUCUGUAGCGGGUCUGAGGGGAUGAUCCGCCAAACUGGGACUGAGGCACGGCCCAGACUCCUACGGGAGGCAGCAGUGGGGAAUAUGGGACAAUGGGCGGAAGCCUGAUCCAGCCAUGCCGCGUGUGUGAAGAAGGCCUUUUGGUUGUAAAGCACUUUAAGCGAGGAGGAGGCUACUUAGAUUAAUACUCUAGGAUAGUGGACGUUACUCGCAGAAUAAGCACCGGCUAACUCUGUGCCAGCCGCCGCAGUAAGAC